CCUACAGAAUGAUGGGGGCAAAAUCAGAGCAGAUAGAUUAAAGUCAGUGCUAACAACUUGCUAAUGGUUCUAAUUGGUCUCUCCAUGAUGUGUGAAUUACUCUGAGUAACCUGCUUUUCUAGACCUGAUAAUUAUGGCUCUAUUUACUUCUAUUUAUUUCCUCCUUGGGUCUCUCCUUAGGGUAUGGAUUUUUCUUUUAUCUCACUUUCCAAAAUUGGGCAGACAGAAGAUGAAAACAGGGGACAUAGUCAUUUGAAGCAUGGAAUGUUAAGAACCCAUAACCAAGAGACUCAGCCACAGCCUUUCAGAAAGUGAAGCAAUUCUGAGGAGAUAAAUGGAAGCAGUCAAGUUGCAGCUCCCUUCACCAUAUUGAAGAACCCCUAAAACAACCGGUCAUAAGCAGAAGAGGCCAUCAAGUUAAUCAACAGAAGAUUCAAGAUUUAAACCCAGGGUUUUCUAAUUCCAGGAUAUGACUCUUCCAUGAUGCUUAUUGAGCAAAGAGCGAGAGGUCACAUUCUAAGGUCUAGUACAGUGCGAUGCUACUCAGGACGUAAAUGUAAUGGAGUCACAGUUCCCGCCUCUGGGUUGGGAGGUGAAUUGUGUGUACAAGAGACAACAGGGGAAAAUACUAGGCUGGAUUAAAAUCAAGUGCUAGGAUGUUUGGGUCGGAUUGCAAGCACUAUAGAAAUCCAGAAGCAAGGAAGAACACAAGGAAAAAAUCAAAGAGCAGUCACUUCGAAAGAGAUCGCAAGAAGCCGCUCUUCCUGUCUCGGGUGUCAGCAGUCAACUCUGCGGCUCCUAUCUCCCCGGAAAGACUGAAAUAAGACCGUGUGAUAGUCCACACCUGCCCUGGACAAGUCCAGCACAGCCCACCCUGAGAACAGCCUAGGAACCACUCAGAGAAGAAAACCACCAUGGACUCUGGAAAGUUCUAAAAUAAUUCCAAGUCAAAAGAGCAAGCAAUUCCUAUUCUUGUUUUAUUGCUUUUGGGGGGGAUAACAUGUGCUGAGCUCCUCACUCGACCCUUCUGGAAGUCUCAUCCCCUACCUGGAGUAUUAGAAGAAGGAUUGUUGAACUUAGUAAAUGCCAUUUACCCCUUGUUGUCCUAAUGAAUUACUUUGAUCGACAUCCUAAUGUACAACCAACUUUGCACUCCUUGAAUAAUUCCUAAUUAUUCAUGUUCUUUUAUUCUUUAGUUAGUGUUAUGCCCAGAUCUCAAGAUCCCCAAAGUCCACAACUAGGAGCCAGUUCGAUGCAAAAGCAGAAGGUCCUUUUAUUGAGCUAGCCAGCCCGACUCCCGCUCCA